rnacentral:lncRNA from 1 species
CUUUCUUCCUUUUGGUGCGAGCUUGCUGUGGUUUUUGCUCUGGGUCCUCUGGGAUGGCGCCUGGCUGUGGCCGCGUGGUCUCUCACGCAGGGGCGCCGGGCGGGGGAACGCGGCCACCCUGAGUCUGGUGAGUCGACUGCGGCGGCCUGUGUCCGAAGUGUCCGGGGCCGUGAACAAGGGCAGCGGCCUGGCCUCAGGCCUGCGUUCCCACGUUUGGAAACGGGGAGCUUCGUCGAUUUGUGUUUACAUCAUCGACUAUGCCAGGGAGUUCUCCAGAUAAGCCUGGUUUUAUUUUCGUCAGUGAAAAGGCCUUACCGUAUAACUGACUUUAUGCUUGCCCUGCCCCCGUAUAAAAUAACUUAAAAGCAGCGUGCCUGGUUACAGCUGUUUCCACGUGCGGUGCUCGUCGGGAGUGAUCACCUACCCUACAGGUGGAAGAUGGAUGCCUGAAGUGUAGACUGCUGCUAGCUGAAUACCAUCUGGGAGCAUAAAGGUGACCUGAAGGUAGGGUGAUAUGUCUUAAAGCACUUUGUAAUGGGAAUUUUUAUCACCUUUUAAAUUGGGGUUCCUUCUCUAGUGAGUUUUAAUGUCAGUGGUACAUUCGUAGUGUUGCUCUGUCUGUAGCUAUUAAGGUGAGUUAAUAAAUGGGAUAGCCUCCACAGCUUAUUUUUGGGAAGGUUUUGCUGAUACUUCCUGAGAAGCCCAGGGAAAUAAAUACGCAUAGUACUGGCAUUCUGCAUCUCUUUAAGAUUUGUUUUUAUGUGUAGUAAUUGAGUUUUUUAAAAGCUUGUGAAAUCGCAGGCAUAUUACCAAGUUCUUGAUUAAAAUGUAAUACAAAAAUAUUUGCUGUCGAAUUGAGUACUUUAUUUUUUCUCUUAGGAUGUCCUUGGUGAGGAUUUUGAAAAUUUGAUCUUCACAAGAGUUGCCUGGAUCAUUUGAAAUUUCUGGGAGUCUGAGGAGUACUGACAUAAUUACCUGCUGGAGUCUGUAAAUACACAUUUAAGACAGUGAGGAUGUGAAUAAAUAUAUUAAUG